rfam:Spinacia oleracea cultivar SynViroflay scaffold94885.con0001.1, whole genome shotgun sequence.
GAUGUUGUAGUAUAGUGGUAAGUAUUCCCGCCUGUCACGCGCGGGUGACCCGGGUUCGUUCCCCGGCAACGACG